AAACCGCCUCCUAAGUAUUGACUUUUUUGCAGUUUUGGCCUCCCAGGUCAAUUUUGACAAAGUCAAUGCACACGUGGACGCCACGUGUGUAUUUUUAUUUUAUUUUUAAUUAAAAAAAUAAUAAUAAUUUUUUUGAUAAUUAAUUAAAAAAUAAAAAAUAAAUACACAUGUGGCGUCCACGUCAGCUUUGACUUGGUCAAAUUGACCUGGGGGGUCAAAACUGUAAAAAAGUCAAUACUUAGGGGCGAUUU
rfam:Medicago truncatula strain A17 chromosome 3, whole genome shotgun sequence.